ACCACACACAAAUCAGAUUUUAUAUUUAAAAUAUGAACAAUCUAAUUUUUAAGAUAAGUAUCUCAUACUUUCCUCUCAUCCUAAUGCCAAUUCUCAGCCAAAAAUGAGCGUGGAACCAAGGUGUAGCACCCCCUUUAAAUAGGUAACAAAGGGGUGCCGCACCAUCUCCAAGGGAUGCCAAUGCUUGGUGUCCCAACUUCUCCAUGUGAUGAUUUCAAUAAAUCACCACAUAUUUAUGG
rnacentral:lncRNA from 1 species